AAUCCACUAACUUGCGCAAAUUACCAUAACGCCCUUCGACUUAAUCCGUUUAGCGACACGGAUCAAAUACCUUCCGUAAGCCCUUCCGACAGUCCGAUUGAGCUCAAAUUUGGCAGGAAUGAUCGUUUUUACUUAACAAGUCCACUGAAAUUUUAACAUUUCAGUUCAGACCCCGUUUGGUCACUGCGAACUGUACCGAACUGCAAUCUUUAUCCGAUAGCUUUCGAAUGCUGUUUCUCUCUCUACAGGUGUCAGAAAAAUCUGAAACUUCAAAACUAGCCUUAUAAUAAUGUUCCUGACAUCUCUGCCAAUUUUCAUAAUUUUCUGACACUGUGCAUUUUCUGCUAAUUUUCUCAGUCCCGUUCCUUACAGAAAUUCUAAAUCCUCUGUUUUUGCUCCGAUUUCAACACGAACACUUCCAAAACAUGCCAAGGGAAUUUCACAAGCUACCAGUUUAAUUUGGAAGCAAUUCCUUUUCAUUUUGACAUCAUAUGGUUCAUUUCGACCAAAUCAACUACAAAAUUCAGCAUUCGAGUUACCAUGGCAAUUGGAAUUCUUUUAUCACUUCGUUUCCACUUGUAUCUAUUCCCACACUUCCAAAGUGUGCCAAUGACUGAUCUCAAGCUUCUAAUUCAGUUUAGAAGUCUUUAACUUCCAUUUUAGCAUUAUUGUGCCCACUUUGAUCACAAUUAGCUUCUAAUCAAGUUUCAGCCUAUUAC
rnacentral:lncRNA from 1 species